AUUAUUACAUUUGUAUUCAUACACUGUCAUGUCAUUUGACCAGUUAAUUAAAUAAUAAUACAGACUGCAAAUAAAACUUAAUACACAGUUGUGUUAACUCGCGCAAACUAUUGCUAUUGUUAUUGGUUGUUUCGCCGUUUUACUUUGAGCAUGAUUGGUUAAUCUGUCUGUUUUACAGGAAACUGUCCAAUGAGAAUGUGCGCGGCUCUGCGCGCCUAUUUUAAAUUUGAAAAUAUGUCCGUUACUCUCGGUCGGAGCACUAGCAGAUGCUUUGCGUUGAUUACUCGGUCAGACCUGGAUUAUUUUAUAUCUGCCUGUUGAAUUCUUACAUUUUGAGCGAAUUUUAGUUGAUAUGACAAUGAAGAUCAAAAGCUGGAAUGUGAACAGAGGAAGGGGUCGUACGUGGUCUGUAAAUAGUGGCGAUAUCAGAUCAAGCUUUGUAAUAAGAUUUUUAUCGGGGGAGAACACCCAACAGAAAGACCCAUGAUUCACCAACUGGCGCACUGAAAGGGGAGAUUCAUGUCACUUUCAUCAGUCCUUUCUUUAAUCACUGGACACCAUUAAGGGAAAGACCCUCAGACGUGUCAUAAUAGGAUAAAUGCGGCUGCAGGUAAAAUUAUUUGAUGGGGUUAGGGUUAUUUGAUUUUGGUGUACCAAUUGGCUUUUUUUUGUGUGCUUCCCUUGCUAUGAUACACAUUUCUGAUGGGAUUGCCAUGCUUUAAGUGUAUGUUUACAUUUUUAAUCAUGUAAUAACUAACAGUCUCAAAGAUGACAUUACUCAGUUCAUGUUGUGUGAAUGUAAUAAUGGCAAACGUUUUUACAAUUUAAAUCAAUUUCAUAUAAAUAAUAUAUAUAUUUAUAUGUUUCCUCACAAUGUCAAAAGUGCUUGUUAAGUGCGGCAGCUUUU